GAUGAACGCUGGCGGCGUGCCUAAUACAUGCAAGUCGAGCGAACAGAUGAGGAGCUUGCUCCUCUGACGUUAGCGGCGGACGGGUGAGUAACACGUGGAUAACCUACCUAUAAGACUGGGAUAACUUCGGGAAACCGGAGCUAAUACCGGAUAAUAUAUUGAACCGCAUGGUUCAAUAGUGAAAGACGGUUUUGCUGUCACUUAUAGAUGGAUCCGCGCCUCAUUAGCUAGUUGGUAAGGUAACGGCUUACCAAGGCAACGAUGCGUAGCCGACCUGAGAGGGUGAUCGACCACACUGGAAAUGAGACACGGUACAGACUCCUACGGGAGGCAGCAGUAGGGAAUCUUCCGCAAUGGGCGAAAGCCUAACGGAGAAACGCCGCGUGAGUGAUGAAGGUCUUCGGAUCGUAAAACUCUGUUAUUAGGGAGGAACAAAUGUGUAAGUAACUAUGCACGUCUUGACGGUACCUAAUCAGAAAGCCACGGCUAACUACGUG
rnacentral:rRNA from 1 species